AUUGUCUUACCUGAGAAAUGUUAACAUAUUUAGUGGAGGACUUUAACCCACUCAUGUUUAUUUUAACCACUGGUCUAUUUAGUCACAUUCCUGUCUUUAUAUUUUAAAUUCUCUUUCAUGAUUCCCUAUUUGCUUUUGUUUCUCCCUCUUUUCUGACUUGUACUGGAGGCAGUUUUCUUUUUCUUUCCCUCUACAGCAGGGACAGUUUUUCUGUUAUGGCCAGAUAAUAGAUAUUUUAGUCUCUGUAGACCAUAAGGUCUCUGUCAAUUCCUCAGUUCUGAUGUUAUAGUGUGAGUCAUCCAGAAACAAUACACAAAUGAAAGAGCAUGGCUAUAUUUCAAUAAAACUUUGUUUACAAAACAAGCAGAAGGCCAGAUUUGGCCUGUGGCCAUAAUUUACUAACCCUUGUUGUAGAGGAUUAACUACCUUGUAUUUAUUCAAAUGUACAUUCAACUUCUAUGAAAGAUAUUAUAAAUAAUACAAUUUGAAAUAGUUUAUUUCUCUAAUUAUAUGUGAGCAGUCAAGGGCUGCUGUGGCAACAUCAUAGUUUUGGGAUGCAGGAUUCUAUCCCAUUGGUCCUUGUCAUUAAGGUGUUGCCCUCAUCUGUACCUACAUCCUCAUCCACAUUUCAGCCAGUGGAGUGGGGGAAUGGGAAGUAGAGGCCAUUCCCCCUUUCUUUAGGGGACAUAGUCUUGAAGAUGCACAAACCAGUUGUUCCUGUCGUGGCACAGCAGAAAUGAAUCCAACUAGAACCAUGAGGUUGUGGGUUCGAUCCCUGGCCUUGCUCAGUGGGUUAACGAUCCAGUGUUGCCGUGAGCUGUGGUGUAGGUUGCAGAUGCGGCUCGGAUCCCACGUUGCCGUGGCUCUGGCGUAGGCCGGCAGCUACAGCUCUGAUUAGACCCCUAGCCUGGGAACCUCCAUAGGCUGCUGGAGCGACCCCAAAAAAGGCAAAAAAAAUUUAAAAAUUUAAAAAUUUAAAAAGCCAAAAAAAAAAUAAAAUUAGAUUCCACAUCUAAGUUUUAUUAUAUAAUAUUUGUCUUUCUUUGCCUGGCUUACCUCACUUAAUACGAUAAUCUCUAGGUCCAUCCAUGUUGCUGCAAAUGGCAUUAUUUCAUUCUUUUUUUAUGGCUGAGUAAUGUCCCAUUGUAAAUAUGUACUACGGUUUCUUUAUCCAAUUCUCUGUUGAUGGACAUUUAGGUUGUUUCCAUGUCAUGGCUAUUGAAAAUAGUGCUGCAGUGAACACUGGAGUGCAUGUAUCUUUUCUAAUUAUGCUUUUCUCUGGAUAUAUGCCCAAGAGUGGGAUUACUUUAUUCUAAACAGUGAGAAGCUUAAGGAAUUUCCAUUGAGAUCAGGAACAAGACAAGGAUGUCUCCUCUCACUGCUGCUAUUCAACAUGGUUUUUGAAGUCCUAGCCAUGGCAAUCAGAGAAGAAGAAGAAAUAAAAGAGUCCAAGUGGAAAAAGAAGUAAAACUGUCACUAUUUGCAGAUGACAUGAUACUAUACAGAGAAAACCCUAAAGAUGCUACCAGAAAACUAUUAGAGCUCAUCCAUCAAUGGGUUCAUCAAUGAGCAGAAUAUAAAAUUAAUACUCAGAAAUCUCUUGAAUUCCUAUGCACUAACAACUGAAGAUCAGAGAGAGAAAUUAAGGAAACAAUCUCAUUCACCACUGCACCAAAAAGAAUAAAAUAUCUAGGAAUAAACCUACUAAAAGAGACAAAAGACUUGUGCCCUGAAAACUAUAAGAUAUUGAUGAAAGAAAUCAAAGAGAACACAAACAGAUGGAAAAAUACAUCAUGCUCUUAGACUGGAAGAAUCAAUAUUGUCAAAAUGACUAUGCUACCCAAGGCAAUCUACAGAUUUAAUGCAUUCCCCAUGAAAUACUUUUAAUGUCUACAUAGUAUUCCAUUGUGCAUUAUCCUAUGACUUACUUAACUAUUACCUUACUGUUAGAAUUCAGAUGAUUUCCAAUUUUCUGGCUAUUAUGAAGAGCCUGUAAUGAAUGUCUGUGUUCAGAAAACUUUGGUCUACAUUUUGGGACUUUUUUCCUUUAUAUAGAUCCCUAGAGGUUUCUCCUGGCUUCCUGAUAAGCCCAAAGUUUGAGGAGAAUCACCAGACUUACUCCCCACAUUCAUAUAGCAUGUUAGAAAGAUACAGGGCUAGCAGGAGACUCAUUGUUGCACAAAACCAAGUCUCUUUACCUCAGAGUCCACAAGUGUAAAAUCAGGGAGUUGAAUUAGACAAUCCAUGUUGUUCCAUCCAUAUUUCUUAUUUCUUAAACAUUCAAAUAGUGGACCUAACUCCCACCCAGUGCCAUAAUUUUUCUUAUGCCCUUUAGGGCUGUAGAAACACAAUAGAGCACUAGUGGUAAUGAUGAAUCUAAGAUAUUGCUACAUUACUGUCUUUAUAUCAUAGAGAAAACUCAACUUUAUUUAGGAAUAUAGUUGGCUUUGUGACUCUCUCCUCUCCAACGCAUAUAAUUUGUGCUUUUAAAUUACUUUUGGCUUAUAAGUAUUAAGAACUAUGUUAUAGUUAUGUGAACCUACUCACUGAGCCUUCUAAUAUUAACCCAAGCAUAAUAUUAUUCACUUGAUAGAUAUUAAGAUACCACAUUUGAAAUUUUUCUUUUUGUGUUCCCUGAAUUUACAUCUGGCUCUGUCUUCAUUAAAAAAAAAAAAA
rnacentral:lncRNA from 1 species